rnacentral:rRNA from 1 species
AUUGAACGCUGGCGGCAUGCUUUACACAUGCAAGUCGAACGGUAACAGGCCGCAAGGUGCUGACGAGUGGCGCACGGGUGAGUAAUGCAUCGGAACGUGCCCAGUCGUGGGGGAUAACUACUCGAAAGAGUAGCUAAUACCGCAUACGAUCUAUGGAUGAGAGCGGGGGACCGUAAGGCCUCGCGCGAUUGGAGCGGCCGAUGUCAGAUUAGGUAGUUGGUGGGGGAAAGGCUCACCAAGCCAACGAUCUGUAGCUGGUCUGAGAGGAAGACCAGCCACACUGGGACUGAGCAACGGCCCAGACUCCUACGGGAGGCAGCAGUGGGGAAUUUUGGACAAUGGGCGCAAGCCUGAUCCAGCAAUGCCGCGUGCAGGAAGAAGGCCUUCGGGUUGUAAACUGCUUUUGUACGGAACGAAACGGCUCUGGUUAAUACCCGGGGCUAAUGACGGUACCGUAAGAAUAAGCACCGGCUAACUACGUG